rnacentral:rRNA from 1 species
UACGUAGGGGGCAAGCGUUGUCCGGAUUUAUUGGGCGUAAAGAGCGUGUAGGCGGCCCGGUAGGUCCGCUGUGAAAACUCGAGGCUCAACCUCGAGAUGUCGGCGGAAACCAUCUGGCUAGAGUCCGGAAGAGGAGAGUGGAAUUCCUGGUGUAGCGGUGAAAUGCGUAGAUAUCAGGAGGAAUACCUAUGGCGAAAGCAGGUAUCUGGGCAAUCACUGACGCUGAGCUGCGAAAGCUAGGGGAGCAAACAGG